rnacentral:tRNA from 1 species
GGGCUCUUAGCUCAGCUGGGAGAGCGCUACGCUGGCAGCGUAGAGGUCAGCGGUUCGAUCCCGCUAGGGUCCACCA